GACGAACGCUGGCGGCGUGCUUAACACAUGCAAGUCGAACGGAAAGGCCCUGCUUUUGUGGGGUGCUCGAGUGGCGAACGGGUGAGUAACACGUGAGUAACCUGCCCCUGACUUUGGGAUAACUUCAGGAAACUGGGGCUAAUACCGGAUAGGAGCUCCUGCUGCAUGGUGGGGGUUGGAAAGUUUCGGCGGUUGGGGAUGGACUCGCGGCUUAUCAGCUUGUUGGUGGGGUAGUGGCUUACCAAGCCUUUGACGGGUAGCCGGCCUGAGAGGGUGAACGGCCACAUUGGGACUGAGAUACGGCCCAGACGCCUACGGGAGGCAGCAGUGGGGAAUAUUGCACAAUGGGCGGAAGCCUGAUGCAGCAACGCCGCGUGCGGGAUGACGGCCUUCGGGUUGUAAACCGCUUUCGCCUGUGACGAAGCGUGAGUGACGGUAAUGGGUAAAGAAGCACCGGCUAACUACGUG
rnacentral:rRNA from 1 species